rnacentral:lncRNA from 1 species
CCGGCGUUUGCUCGGCCGAGGCGGACGUCCGCCGUGCCCGUGGUCGCGGAGGCUAGGCUAGGGGAGAGCGGGUGUAAAAGGGGUCUACGGGUGCGCGAGGGACCGGGGAAGCUAGCGCGCCUCGCUGCGGAAGCCGGGAGCUCACCGGCGCGGAGCUUAAGCUCACCGGAGCGGUGGCGAGAGGAAGAAGAUGCCUCUGACGGGCGAGACCCGCCCGUCAGCGGCCGUGUGUGAGGGCAGCGCCCGCGCGCGCGACGCGGGAGAGCUCGCGGGCCGUCUUGGGCCGGGUCCAAGCAGGCCGCCAGUGCAGCACAGUGCACUUUUUUUUUCUUUUUCCUUUUUGUUUAAAAAUGCUUGAUGUUUGAAAUUGAGUAAUAAAUUGUGUGGUGAUCCAAAAAAGAUGAAAAUUUUUGUAUAGACUCCCUGAAAUAUGUAGAACCCAAGAAAAAUAUUAGGUUCUGUUUUCUGAUAGUUUGCAAGUGUAUAAAAAUUUGCUCUUUUAAUUAGUAAAUAAAACUUCUAGGAAUUUUAAUAAUUUAUUUGUAUGUCCAAAAAUCACCAAACUUUGUGGGGAGUCUCUGAAUAUUAUUUCCAUGCUUCACACAAAAUUUGGUGGCAUUUGGAUAAUGUUUGAAUAAAAUAUUAAUCAACCCUUAUUUAGUAAUUAAGUAAUAAAUCCAAGAUAAUUAGAUAGUGAUUAGUUAAAUCCUCAUAAUUAGGGUUGAGUGAUUUUGGGAUUAUGUGAGGUCAUUAACCCUAAUGACCUUUGGCAUUUAAUUAUUGUUUGGCCUUAAUGCUUAAUUACUGUCAUUAGUGAUUAAUUAAGAGUUAAUUAAGGUAAAUAGGAUUAAUAAUUAGUUAAUUCAGAAUAAUUAUGAAUUAAGAAAAGUACCAAUUUACAGAUGCAACCUCUUGGGUAAAGACACUAAGUUGUUAAACAACUUUAUUUAUUAUUUAUUCUGUAAUGCACCAAGAAGGCAAGUUAUACUCGACUUAGUCCUUCUUGCACAGUUGUCAUAUCCAUAUCAUGAGCAUUCAUCAUUUUGCGUAUAGUGCACG